GACGAACGCUGGCGGCGUGCUUAACACAUGCAAGUCACGGGGGUCCCGGGGGCAACCUUGGGAUAACCGGCGAACGGGUGCGUAACACGUGAACAACCUGCCCUCGUGUGGGGGAUAGCCAUGCUAACGCGUGGGUAAUACCGCAUACGUUCUUCUGGGGGAGUCCCCGGGAGAGGAAAGCUCCGGCGCACGGGGAGGGGUUCGCGGCCUAUCAGCUAGUUGGUGCGGUAACGGCGCACCAAGGCGACGACGGGUAGCUGGUCUGAGAGGAUGGCCAGCCACAUUGGGACUGAGAGACGGCCCAGACUCCUACGGGAGGCAGCAGUGGGGAAUCUUGCGCAAUGGUCUAACGACUGACGCAGCGACGCCGCGUGUGGGAGGACGCCUUUCGGGUGUAAACCACUGUUGCCCGGGACGAACAGCCUUAUUCGUAAGGUCUGACGGUACCGGGUGAGGAAGCACCGGCUAACUCCGUGCCAGCCGCCGCGGUAAC
rnacentral:rRNA from 1 species